rnacentral:lncRNA from 1 species
CGACUUUUAAGCUGAGUCUUAGGGAAUGAAAAGCCCUUGCAUGUACUUGCCACUCAUCUAUAUUUGAACUCAGUCAAGAUGAUGCAGUGGGAACGUUAGUCAUCCCAUGAGGCCCUUGAUAUGGGAAUAGGUUGGCCUAGUUUGAAAAGAACAGCAUGGCCAUUUCGGCUCCAACAAGCUACAACAUGAGAGUGAAAGUUUAGCAGUUCUGAAAACAUACAAGGAAUGUGUGUAACCUCAGUUGUUUAAUAAAAAUUAAAAAAAAGAAAAGGAAAGAAAAUAGAGUCUUAUAACAACUUUUAGGAAAAACUCGCAAAGUCCAUGAGCUUUUAACAAAUGCCCUGCAAUGCCCUCUUUUUCUUUCACCUCUGGGAAAACUAAGAGAACGUAUGCCAAAGGUGGCCUGCUGGAGUCCUACUCCAUCUGCUAUGGUAGCCCCUCCAUGGGUUGUUCUAGUGAGUGGACACAGGCCAUCGUGCAGCCCAGCAUGGCUGUGAUGGCUAGAGAAGGGAAGCUGGUCAAUUGGCGUUAGACAGACACAAAUAGCUCCUCCUACUCUAACACCAUAGCUCAGAGUAAAUAAGAUUGUGUCCCUGGUUUGCACUUGUACAGACAUUAGGUCAUUUAGCCCUCACAAUGCCCUGUGAAGUAAGAUCAUCUUCCCUUCUGUUUGUGGACAGGGAACUGGGAAAAGGAUAAGUGAAGUAACAUCCCUUUUCUAGAACUAGAAAGGAGCAGAGCUGAGGUUCUAAUCAGAUCUUUUGAAGAUCAAAAGAGAUUAUUUGGAAAUUUCAGAAAUGAUGCAAAAAUGAGUAAUUAUAGACAUCUGUUUGCAACAAUACGGCAAAGUGGAUAUGCAGAGAAACAGUCCUAGAAGAGAGUAACAAGGAUGAAGAGAAUAUCUUAAAAGGACUUAGAAAUAAAAGAUGAUCAACCAAGAAUUGGAAGAUUGACAGCUGACUUCUCAGCAACCUCUUCCUGAUGGAGAUUAAUAUCAAUUACUCCUGAAUAGACAAAGCAGAAGAAGGUUUACUCUUAAGCUGCUAAUGCUUAAUCUUCAAGGCUACUCACUUGCUCAAGCCUCUUUCACAUGGUCAUAUGAUUUUUUAAUAUUUGCAAAGAAAGAUAUUUGUAUUUUUUUGUGAUUUCAUUUCUCAUUCCAAAUAAAUCC